CUCGUUAGUUUGUGUUGUUCCCUCAGUCUUUGUUGGUCCGACCGCUCAGUUCUCGUCCUCGCGUGUCUCCGUUAUCUUGCCUUUAUCCUGUGUUUUUAUUUUUUCUUCUCUGUUCCUAAUGUGCUCCCCGUGUUCCCGCUCGGUCUUAUGGUUUGCUCUCUGUUCUUGUUCUUGCCUUCUUUGCUCGUCUCCUUUUGGAUUCAUUUGGAAUGGUUUCUUUAAAAACUCGCCUUUUCUGGUGAAUCUGGGUGCUGUUUUUUUUUGUAUAUCUGACACCCAAAUUGCAAUUAUUGUAAUUCAUGCUGACUGUGAUCGUUCUUAAAAAUGCAUCAACCAAACAAGUCAACGAUCACUUUCUGUAUUUGUUUUGUCAGCGAGUCACUUUUAAUAUUUUUCACGGCGGUAACAGAACAUUCAGUUGCAGCUGUAGUGAGCUGUUGGAUGAGCUGUUGGAUGAGCUGUUGGAUGAGCUGUUGGAUGAGCUGUUGGAUGAGCUGUUGGAUGAGCUGAAGGUGACAGGAUGCAGACGUCCAACUCCUCCAGCAAGAAUCGAUCGGAAAACUUUCACUUACUCCAGCUGAAGACGGGAGCAGCAUGAAGUGCCGGCGCUCGGUUUCCAAAGCAACCGGCGUGCUGGAGGCCGCUGACUGAGAAUCCUGCGAGUGCAGCCGUGCAGGGUUGAAACUGUUUUCCAAAGAUCAGCCCGGGUUUGUUUUCUGGCAGCUACUUAACUGUUGAAAUAAAAAACUUACAAUAAAUACAAUAAAUAAGGAAACAUGAA